rnacentral:rRNA from 1 species
AGAACGAACGCUGGCGGCAUGCCUAAUACAUGCAAGUCGAACGAGAUCUUCGGGUCUAGUGGCGCACGGGUGCGUAACGCGUGGGAAUCUACCCUUGGGUUCGGAAUAACAGUUGGAAACGACUGCUAAUACCGGAUGAUGACGAAAGUCCAAAGAUUUAUCGCCCAGGGAUGAGCCCGCGUAGGAUUAGCUAGUUGGUGAGGUAAAGGCUCACCAAGGCUACGAUCCUUAGCUGGUCUGAGAGGAUGAUCAGCCACACUGGGACUGAGACACGGCCCAGACUCCUACGGGAGGCAGCAGUAGGGAAUAUUGGACAAUGGGGGCAACCCUGAUCCAGCAAUGCCGCGUGAGUGAUGAAGGCCUUAGGUUGUAAAGCUCUUUUACCCGAGAUGAUAAUGACAGUAUCGGAGAAUAAGCUCCGGCUAACUCCGUGCCCAGCAGCCGC